GCGUUCGAUUUGGCAACACAUGCACUAAAAUUGGAACGACACAGAGAAGAUUAGCAUUGUCCCUGUGCAAGGAUGACAUGCAAAUUCAUGAAGUGUUCAAUUUAAAA